rnacentral:rRNA from 1 species
UGGGGAAUAUUGGGCAAUGGGCGCAAGCCUGACCCAGCAAUUCCGCGUGGGUGAAGAAGGUCUUCGGAUUGUAAAGCCCUUUCGGCGGGGACGAUGGUGACGGUACCCGCAGAAGAAGCCCCGGCCAACUUCGUGCCAGCAGCCGCGGUAAUACGAAGGGGGCUAGCGUUGCUCGGAAUCAUUGGGCGUAAAGGGCGCGUAGGCGGCCUUGUUAGUCGGGCGUGAAACCCCCGGGCUCAACCCGGGGACUGCGCUCGAUACGGCAAAGCUCGAGGGUGGAAGAGGGCCGCGGAAUUCCCAGUGUAGAGGUGAAAUUCGUAGAUAUUGGGAAGAACACCGGUGGCGAAGGCGGCGGCCUGGUCCAUUUCUGACGCUGAGGCGCGACAGCGUGGGGAGCAAACAG